CCAUGUUAAUGGAAUUAAAUUAUCGUUAGUUAAUUAUCGUGUUAGAAACAGAAACAACAGCUGUAUUUCUGCUUUCUUCAGAUCAUACUGACAUUAGACCUCAGGUUGAUGGUACGAGUCUGAUCUGCCUGAGAUUUUCCUCCGCAGCAGAACAUACACAACAUAACUAAGACCUUCUCUUCCUGUGCAAACACAGUUUCACUUCCAGCGAGUCUCACAGCGGCAGGUGCAGAAAUUAAUUAAGGAAAUGUGCAUGGCUGUGCCUCAGAUGGUGGAGCUCCUUCACCAUUAAUCAUGGGGUUAGUGGUUUGAAUCCUGGCUCCUCCUGACCACAUGUCAAACAACCUUGAGCAGCACAUUAUUCCCUGAAAAUGGCUCAUGAUGGUGUGUGUGUGUGUGUGUGUGUGUGUGUGUGUGUGCUCAUACCUAUACUGGUGAAUGAGAAGCAUUUUUAAGCAACUAAAUCCUACACAUGAACCUGCCUUCACUGCUGUGUCCCACUGUCCAGUGUUCGGAGUAGAAUUCAGCUGAGAUGUGCAGUCAGUCGUAGAUCAAUGUUUUCUUGUUUUAUUGACAGUUAUUCUCUCAACUGCUAUGCAAACAAAAAGUUAAUCAGUAAUAUUGUGUUCUACUGCAGGGAGGUCACCCACUGAGGCACUGACAGUGAUGGAAGGCCAAAGAGAACCAGAACCAAAAAGAAAAGAUGAAGAAGACGCAGGAGUGGGCUGAGGGGUGGCACUGGUUGGAGGAGAUAAAUUCUGGUGUUGAGCGUCUGCAGUUGGGUGCAGGAGUCCUGCAGGAUGAGCGAGUGUCGGUGAAGCGCUUCCAGCUGCUCUUUCAGAUGCUCGCACAUCUCCUGGGACUGGGACAACCGUGACAGCAAAGCCUCCUGUCCUGCUACAGCCACUGCUCUCUAAAGGCCUUUCUGUUUGCCUGACAACCUGCCAGCCUGAAUGCAGUCCUGGGGAUUGUGAGUCUGUUUAUUUAUUAAAUAUUCCAUGCUGCACAAACCUGCCUUGUCUUAGAGUCUGCAUCUGAGCCCCUGUAAACCAUAACCUCAACCCUUCUCCUCCUCCUUUCCCUCUGCACUCUCUGGGUCUGUGGAUACAGACAGCCGCCCACAAACAUCCUAAUUCUGCUGGAGGUGUCUUCCUGUUAAAAGGACUUUUUUCCCCUCUUUUUCCCUGAGUUGUGAAGCGACUGCUCAUGGGGAAAAGCUGGGUUUGGGUAAACAAAUUGUAGAGAAUGAUGUCCAGACCCUCCUGACAUUCUACAGCUACUGUAGUGAUUCAGCAGUGUAUAAAUAAAACUGAAUUCGUUUGGACAUAAAUGUCUUGGGUCCCUACACCUAUUUUAAACUGCUAAACCUGUAUUUAACCCAGGUCCUUGCAGGGUUUUGGAGCAGAAUACAGUUAUUUUGAUAACUAUAUAUAUUGCACAUUUUAAAUAUGUUGGCUGCAAAAAAGGAGGACAAAUCUCAACCAUUAGUGUCUUUAAACACAUCUUUUUAGUAGGUCAGUAGAUUAGCAGAUCCUCAGCAGAAGAUGGAUCUGGUUUUAAAAAAAAAGAACGAAAAUACGACAGAAGAUAAGGCCAAUGCUUAUGUAUGACUUUCUCUGAAUGGGGGAUAUUCAUGAAAACCUUUUAUGCUAUUUAUUUGAUGCUGACUUAGCAUCGCUCUUCUCCUUAGCUUGCAGUUUCCAUGCUGUCUCACACUUUUACUGUUACAACCCCAUUAAACACCGCAUUUACAGAGACCUGUACACCCUGCACCGGAGUAUAAUGUGAUUAAGUGUGACAUGGUUUGGGUGUCACUAAAUAAUUUGCGUCUUAUAUAAAAGUAUGAGAAUAAUUAUGUAAAUUCAAGGUUUAAAAACAAAACUCUGCACUGGCUGUCUGAAGGCCUGCUGUUGAGACAAAACAGGAGUAGUCACAGAAUAUUGACACUGCCAGAAAAAUAAGAUUAAUGAUACAUGUUACAUCAUAACAAAGUUUUUACUGCCCUUUGUCUAAUGUACUGUAAUACAUCUCUCCCUGCAAUGCUGCGGGUCAGUUCAUGUUCAGUACUGUAUGA